AACGAACGCUGGCGGCAGGCCUAACACAUGCAAGUCGAGCGAGGACUUCGGUCCUAGCGGCGGACGGGUGAGUAACGCGUGGGAACGUGCCCCUUUCUACGGAAUAGCCCCGGGAAACUGGGAGUAAUACCGUAUAAGCCCUACGGGGGAAAGAUUUAUCGGGAAGGGAUCGGCCCGCGUUGGAAUUAGGUAGUUGGUGGGGUAAUGGCCUACCAAGCCGACGAUCCAUAGCUGGUUUGAGAGGAUGAUCAGCCACACUGGGACUGAGACACGGCCCAGACUCCUACGGGAGGCAGCAGUGGGGAAUCUUAGACAAUGGGCGCAAGCCUGAUCUAGCCAUGCCGCGUGAGCGGAUGAAGGCCUUAGGGGUUGUAAAGCUCUUUCAGGGGGGAAGAUAAUGACUGUACCCCCAGAAGAAGCCCCGGCUAACUCCGUG
rnacentral:rRNA from 1 species